rnacentral:rRNA from 1 species
CGGAGGGUGCAAGCGUUAUCCGGAUUCACUGGGUUUAAAGGGUGCGUAGGUGGGUUUGUAAGUCCGUGGUGAAAUCUCCAAGCUUAACUUGGAAACUGCCGUGGAUACUAUAAAUCUUGAAUGCUGUGGAGGUGAGCGGAAUAUGUCAUGUAGCGGUGAAAUGCUUAGAUAUGACAUAGAACACCAAUUGCGAAGGCAGCUCACUACCCAGAUAUUGACACUGAGGCACGAAAGCGUGGGAUCAAACAGGAUU